rnacentral:rRNA from 1 species
CCUACGGGAGGCAGCAGUGGGGAAUAUUGCACAAUGGGGGAAACUCUGAUGCAGCGACGCCGCGUGAGUGAAGAAGUAUUUCGGUAUGUAAAGCUCUAUCAGCAGGAACGAGACAAGACGGUACCUGACUAAGAAGCCCCGGAUAACUACGUGCCAGCAGCCGCGGUAAUACGUAGGGGGCAAGCGUUAUCCGGAAUCAAGGGGUGUAAAGGGGGCGUAGAUGGCUGUGCAAGCCUGAAGUGAAAGGGGGGGGCCCAACCCCUGGACUGCUUUGGGAACUGUACGGCUGGAGUGCAGGAGAGGUAAGUGGAAUUCCUAGUGUAGCGGUGAAAUGCGUAGAUAUUAGGAGGAACACCAGUGGCGAAGGCGGCUUACUGGACUGUAACUGACGUUGAGGCUCGAAAGCGUGGGGAGCAAACAGGAUUAGAUACCCUAGUAGUC